rnacentral:tRNA from 1 species
GGUGAUGUAGUUCAGUGGUAGAGUACUUGUCUAAUAUGUGUGAGGCCCUGGGUUUGAUCCCUAGCACCAGCA